rnacentral:lncRNA from 1 species
UCCUUAAGAUAAGAGGGAGGAUUAUGUUGUCUUCCAGAUUUUCUGGGAGCAGGAACAGAUGUGGAAGAAGGCAAAUCAAGAGGAGAAAUAUCAGGAUUGAAGGGAGGAAUGGAGGUUUGAUUAGAAGAAGGGGAAGUUGUGGCAGAAGGAGGAGGAGGAGAGGAACAGACAGGUAUAAACAAGUCUGUAUCAGAGGAGGAAUGCUCAAGAGGAGGAACAAAACACAUGCAGGAGAGGAACAGACAGGUAUAAACAAGUCUGUAUCAAAGAAGGAAGGCUCAAGAGGAGGAACAGAGGGAAAGGAAGAAGGAGCAGGAAGAGUAGAAGAUGAAACAGUUUUAAAUGGAAAGAAGGUUUCAUGAAAUAUAACAUCCCCGGAGACAAAGUAUUUUUUGGAAGUGAGAUCAUAAAGCUUAUAACCCUUUUUUGGAAAAAGGAUACCCAAUAAAUACACAGGAAAUGGCUCUAGGUUUCAACUUGUCCCUUUGAGGAAUUGGAACAGUGGCAUAGGCAAGGCAGCCAAAAGUCUUUAAAUGGGAGUAAGUGAGUGUCUUACCAUGCAAGAUUUCAUAAGGGGAUUUGCCAUGAAGAAGCCUGGAGGGUAUUAUGUUAAUAAGAUAGGUAGCAGUCAAUAGGCAAUCUCCCCAGAAAGAGAUGGGUAAACCAGAUUGGAAAAGUAAAGCUCUACAUGUUUCAAAAAGAGUCCUAUGUUUCCUCUCAACAACACCAUUCUAUUGAGGAGUAUGUGGGCAAGUGGUUUGGUGUAUAAUGCCAUGUUGGCUAAAAAAGGAUGCACC